rnacentral:misc_RNA from 1 species
GUGUUGUGGAGAAGUCUCGUCAUGUGUUGACGACAGUGUUUUAUGUGCCCGUUUCGUGUUUCACCGCUUGCCCACGUUUUUAUUUUUCUUGGUGUGCCCACUUUCAGCGUUGUGUGGGUCUGUUCGCGUGAUUUCGUUCUGGAGAGGCAAAAGGAGAGGCGGAGCCGCUCUCGGCUUGCACAGAGCAUAGAGGAGAAGCGCUCGCUCCAACGUGCAUCGACUCGCGCUAUUCGAGUCGCCCUUCUGUGCGUGCGUUGACGGCGGGCGCCUGUCUCCCCCCUAUCUUUGUUUUCUCCAGACACUCUCUGAGGUGAGAUUCGAGUCGUUUCGUGGCGCCCGUCAUCCCUUUUCGUCAAUUUUGGGCUUCGUUGCGCCCAUUAUCUGGGUGUGUCUUCGCGUGUGCUUUUCUUUUCCGCGUCUUCAUUGCAUCAUCGUCACCACUCUAUCUUUCCACUGCCGGCUGUGGUAGUUGUGCUGUGUUGCGCGUGACUGCGGACCCCAUCCUGCCUUCCGACCUACUUCCUCUGCGGUGAACUGUUUAGCUUUCCUCUUUCAGCAAUACUGCGCAUGCGUGCUCACAUCAAUAAUUCUUUUUCGGUCUCCUCCGCCUUGUUUCUUUGGUGUGUGCGUGUGCGUGUGCCUGUAUGCGUUACAGAGAUUUCUCUCCCCGCAUCGCGUGCCUUAUUCUACCUGUAUGUUUUUUCUGCUCCCCUCCCCUCUGUCACAAGACGUCCUACUCAGCGCUAUCGUACGCCCCCUCACUCGUCUCCCUCGCUGCGCGCGCGCUUAUAUGUGUGUGUGUUUGCUUUGUGGUGUCCACCUUGGGUUUAUAUUUUUCUGCAUCUCUUUCCCCCUCGUACACCAUUGCCGUUGAGGCCGGCGACGGUCUGCCGCUUCUUCUUUUCCCUCUUUUCCUUAGUUUCUCUUUCGGUGGGCGCUCCACUGCGUUCUCUGUGUUGAAAGGCAAAUAAACAGAAAAGAAAGGGGGAAGGCAACAAAGACAAAGGCAAGACGCAGCCAUAUACGCGCCACACUCUCGAUCGCCACCCUCUCUCCAUUGUUCGCUGCUGCUGCGACGAUACACACACACACACACACACACACACUAGCACACUCACCAAAUAGUGUACAUGGGCAAUGGGCUGUGAGGUAUCUUCGAUUAAGGGGAAAGAGGCCAAGCGGGCGGCACCGAAGAAAACCAAACAGCGUAGCGGCAACGCCAAAGCGGGCCCCGAAAACGCCUCGCCUAGCAAGAUGGGGGAGACGACGCUACAGACGACAGGCGUGACGAAUCUAUCGAGCAAGGAUCCGCUCAAAACUGAUGUGCCAUGCACGUCUGACUCCUUAAUUGCGCUUAUGCCGGGGACUUGUGCGGGUGACAUGCACCAGCAACCGCCGGCGACGAACGCCGACCUCAGCCGCUCUGACUCCAUCACCAACGAGGACCUGAAUGGGUCUUUAUGCGUCGAUCUUUCUGGUAGCUUUCGCAUGCCCAACUCUAACAAAGGCGACAUUGCGUUAAAUACGAAGGCGCCGGAAGCUCGGCGUAGUCGCUCUGUUUCGCAGGUGCUGCUCAAGUCAGUGUCACCCCAUCCGAGCGAUAACGACCUCGUCCUCAUUUGCAUAGACUGCGGGAUGGAGAUUAGCGAGAACUGCGAGUCGGUACUGUGCCCGCUGACUGGGAAGGCACACGUGUAACGAGCGUGUGCGUGCGUCUGUGCCACACGGUAGAGGCGCCUGUGCACAUGUGUAUCUCUUUACAUCUGGCUAGGGGACCACUCAUCAGUAUUCCACACUUGAAAGCAAAAUGUGUGGUGUCGCGGCUCAGUGGGCCCCUUAAAUAUGCUUUUACUCCUCCGUGUGCAAGGAAGGGUGCGACUUUGCCUCAUUUCAGCGCCUCCGGCGCACUCGCGCAUGCUCAUUUCGGGGCAGUGGCGCCGUGUUUCUUCUCUCUCUGUUGUCUUCUCGCCAUGCUUGGCAUUGUGGCCGGUUGCCCGGGAGGACGCCGACGACGACAAAGGAAAGCAGAUGGACAGCCGAAACAACAAAGUUCUUCCUUUUUGUUUCGCAUGUUUCCUGAAUGCCUUCUGGCGUAUUCAUUUUUUUUACCACCUCUUCUCGGGUUGCGCCGUCGUUCUGUGUGUGCGUGUGUCCGUUCUUUUUUGCUGCUUGGAUCGACCGCGAGGCCAGGCAGCGCCCAUCCCCUUUUUUUCCCGCUUCUUGUUCUCUUUGUAGUGUCUUAUCAUCUUGUUUUCGUUGCUGUACCAGCAUUGUUUUUCACGAACUCGCUUAUAUAUAUACACACAUAUAUAUAUAUAUAUGUAUAGUGUCUCGGCGUGUGUGUAUGUGUGCUCAUAUGCUCGAUCCUGGAGGCAGUUGCUACGUAAUUCACCUUUGGAGCUGCUUUUUCGGGGUCGUGUCCAUGCACGCAUGUGCACUCGUAUUUUUGUGGAGGUGUAGCUGCGUCGCCCCUUCGAGGAUCCAUUUCUUUUGAUCCUUACUGUGGAUUCGUUUCGGUAGCUCUGCCCCUUUUCAUUUUUUUUUUUAGCACUGAAGGGCGGGAGCCGAAUGUGCAGGCGGAGGGGGGGGAACGGCGCUUUAUUUGGACAUAUCUGUACGUGGUUGCACAUGAAAUUCCCGACCCUUUCGGUCACUGCGUUGCCUGCCACUCCCUCUCCCCCUCCGCAGUUUCUUACCCCUUCACGUUUGCUUUGUUGUAGCGACUUCCUUCUCGGUCUCUCGGUGUUGCCCCCCUGUCCCUCAUUGUGUGCUUGCCUUUGGCGGCUGUCUGUGGUUUGUUGGUGGUCCUUGUGGAUGAUGGGGCCCUUGUCGACGCUCUUUUGCGCUGUGCAUAUGUGCGUGUGUGCAUGUAUGUGUGUUGCUCGUGCAUUUCUGUGUUCUUGAAUAGCCUUUGUCUUUUUUUUUUGUUCUUUUAGCAUUCUGCUUGCUGCUUAGGUGUCUUCGUGGGCCAUAGCCUGAUGCCUUCGUAUGGGCGUGCGCGGGCGAGUGUGCAGGAGGGUGUGCACGUGUGUGCAGCAACCAACCUC